rnacentral:rRNA from 1 species
CGCGUAGGCGGCUCGGUAAGCGGUGUGUGAAAUCCCCUGGCUCAACCAGGGAACUGCGCCCCAAACUACCGGACUUGAGGGCAGUAGAGGAAACUGGAAUUCCAGGUGUAGCGGUGAAAUGCGUAGAUAUCUGGAGGAACACCGUCGGCGAAGGCGAGUUUCUGGGCUGUCCCUGACGCUGAGGCGCGAAAGCGUGGGGAGCGAACAGGAUUAGAUACCCUGGUAGUCC